rnacentral:tRNA from 1 species
GUGAGUGUUGCUCAGUCGUUUAGAGCAUCAGAUUGUGGUCCUGAGGGUCGUCGUUUCAACUCCCAUCACUCACACGA